rnacentral:rRNA from 1 species
CAGGGAAUCUUGCACAAUGGGCGAAAGCCUGAUGCAGCGACGCCGCGUGGGGGAUGAAGGCCUUAGGGUCGUAAACCCCUUUCAGCAGGGACGAAAAUGACGGUACCUGCAGAAGAAGCCCCGGCCAACUACGUGCCAGCAGCCGCGGUAAGACGUAGGGGGCGAGCGUUGUCCGGAUUUAUUGGGCGUAAAGAGCUCGUAGGCGGUUGCGUAAGUCGGAUGUGAAAACUCAGGGCUCAACCCUGAGACGCCAUCCGAUACUGCGCUGACUUGAAUCCAGUAGGGGAGUGUGGAAUUCCUGGUGUAGCGGUGAAAUGCGCAGAUAUCAGGAGGAACACCCAUGGCGAAGGCAGCACUCUGGGCUGGUAUUGACGCUGAGGAGCGAAAGCAUGGGUAGCAAACGGGAUUAGAUACCCCCGUAGUCCCUGAGCGGGCUGGCAAGGCGCAU